rnacentral:lncRNA from 1 species
UUGAGAGAUGCGAUUCUAGAGAUAAAUAAAGAGAGGAACAGGUGUUGCCCUGUCGUUGCCGGUGGCUUCGGCCGUCUAUGGCGGCGGCGGGCGUACUAUGUGCGACGCCUCUGUUGCUUUUUACCUCUGGCUUUGAUUCUUUUCAUUUGCGUCGAUGUUGGAACGAAGAAUGGAUGUAGUGGACUAUUAGGACCAAAUCUGGAACAACCAGAUACCUAAGUUGAGUUCAUUGAUUUCUUUUCAUUUCUGAAUGAUAUAAGGAUUUCCUGUGCCCGUUGUAACCAUGGCUAUACAACGGAUUCGCAUGGAUAAACGCAGCAACGACUGAGGCGAUUGAAGGUUUUAGUUGUAUAGGGGAUCGUCAAUAGUGAAUGGUUGUUUUGGCUUACUAAAGGCAUCUGAAUUGGGUCAAACAAUAGCAGCAAAUAGGGGUCGUUAUCAUGGGGUAAGCCUACGGUAGCGCGCUGUGAAACAAAAAUGGUUUUUGGGGGGUGGCGAACGACACAACGGUUCCAUUUCCAGUUAUAAUCUUCAUGCUUGCACUAUAACUUGAAUGAUGCUUUCAUGCUCACAGCCACAUUAGUCCAAAAGGGUGUGAAACACCGCCCAACGGGCAUGAGUGGGGCUUGAUGGUCAGCCGUUUAGGGCAGUGGCGAAGCUUGAGAUUUCCGGUCGGGGGUCGCAAACGUAUAUACCAAAAAUUUCUAUAAAACCGAGGGGUCAAAAACGUGUAUACCAAAAAAUUUCUAUACGAAAAUUACAUACUCUCCACUAACGAGCGAAAAGUUCGGGGGGUCGACCGCCCCCUCCCGCCACCACAAAGCUCCGCACUUGGUUUAGGGCGGGUCACAAGCAUAGGAAUGGAGUAGUUAAAAGUGUCAUUUGGUAUUGCAACUGUUCAGUUAUCAUUUGCUGAAUUUUUGUAGAUAACUUGAAUGAAUGUUUUUAACUGUACCAUAUGUUUUGUAAUAUGAGGAUUAUGCAAAGAUGCUGAAUGGUUGCCCCAGUGGAAAAUUCCCAGGCUUUCUUUUUGGGGGAUAUGUUUAUUACUUUUGUGGUUCUGAUGCACCUAAAUUCGAAAACUCUUGCAUAAGAGGUUAGUUUCCCGCCGCAACGCGCGAGCGGGAAAAACCUAGUUAUAGCUAAAGCAAUUAUGGGUAAAGUAACAGUUUUUAGCCCAGUAUUUGUAGAAAUAUAUAAUAUGGAUACUAUCAUGUAAUUUUACAGUU